CAGCAGCCGCGGGAAUACAGAGGGUGCGAGCGUUAAUCGGAUUUACUGGGCGUAAAGCGUGCGUAGGCGGCUUCUUAAGUCGGAUGUGAAAUCCCUGAGCUUAACUUAGGAAUUGCAUUCGAUACUGGGAAGCUAGAGUAUGGGAGAGGAUGGUAGAAUUCCAGGUGUAGCGGUGAAAUGCGUAGAGAUCUGGAGGAAUACCGAUGGCGAAGGCAGCUAUCUGGCCUAAUACUGACGCUGAGGUACGAAAGCAUGGGGAGCAAACAGGAUUAGAUACCCGUGUAGUCCCUGUCUCUUAUAC
rnacentral:rRNA from 1 species